GACGAACGCUGGCGGCGUGCUUAACACAUGCAAGUCGAGCGGAAAGGCCCUUUCGGGGGUACUCGAGCGGCGAACGGGUGAGUAACACGUGAGUAAUCUGCCCUUGGCUUUGGGAUAACUACCGGAAACGGUGGCUAAUACCGGAUACGACCACUCCUUGCAUGAGGUGGUGGUGGAAAGUUUUUCGGCCAGGGAUGUGCUCGCGGCCUAUCAGCUUGUUGGUGGGGUAAUGGCCUACCAAGGCUUCGACGGGUAGCCGGCCUGAGAGGGUGACCGGCCACACUGGGACUGAGACACGGCCCAGACUCCUACGGGAGGCAGCAGUGGGGAAUAUUGGACAAUGGGCGGAAGCCUGAUCCAGCAACGCCGCGUGAGGGAUGACGGCCUUCGGUUGUAACCUCUUUCAGUACCGACGAAGCGCCGAUGAUGGUGGUGACGGUAGGUACAGAAGAAGCACCGGCCAACUACGUG
rnacentral:rRNA from 1 species